CUACGGGGGGCUCCAGUGAGGAAUUUUGCGCAAUGGGGGAAACCCUGACGCAGCAACGCCGCGCGAGUGAAGAAGGCUUUCGGGUCGUAAAGCUCUGUCAGAUAGGAAAAAAGUUCAUAUGUAAAUAGCUUAUGAAUCUGAUGGUACUAUCAGAGGAAGCACCGGCUAACUCCGUGCCAGCAGCCGCGGUAAUACGGAGGGUGCAAGCGUUGUUCGGAAUUACUGGGCGUAAAGGGCGUGUAGGCGGUAUGGUAAGUCAGAUGUGAAAGCCCUGGGCUUAACUCAGGAAGUGCAUUUGAUACUGCCAUCCUUGAGUAUGGGAGAGGAGAGUAGAAUUCCCAGUGUAGAGGUGAAAUUCGUAGAUAUUGGGAGGAAUACCCGUGGCGAAGGCGACUCUCUGGACCAAUACUGACGCUGAGACGCGAAAGCGUGGGGAGCAAACAGGAUUAGAUACCCUCGUAGUC
rnacentral:rRNA from 1 species